rnacentral:rRNA from 1 species
GAAACUGGGAUUAAUACUCCAUAGUCUUCAAUGAUCGCAUGAGAAAUGAAGUAAAGCUCCGGCGGUACAAGAUGGGCGUGCGUCCCAUUAGUUUGUUGGUGAGGUAACGGCUCACCAAGACAGCGAUGGGUAGCUGGCGUGAGAGCGCGACCAGCCACACUGGCACUGAGACACGGGCCAGACUCCUACGGGAGGCAGCAGUAGGGAAUAUUGGUCAAUGGGCGAAAGCCUGAACCAGCCAUGCCGCGUGGAGGAUGACUGCCCUCAGGGUUGUAAACUCCUUUUAUUUGGGAAGAAACCCCGGAAUUCACUUCCGGGCUGACGGUACCAUAUGAAUAAGCACCGGCUAACUCCGUGCCAGCAGCCGCGGUAAUACGGAGGGUGCAAGCGUUAUCCGGAUUCACUGGGUUUAAAGGGUGCGCAGGCGGGAUAUUAAGUCAGAGGUGAAAGCCCCGAGCUCAACUUGGGAACUGCCUUUGAAACUGAUAUUCUUGAAUAUAGUUGAGGCUGGCGGAAUACAACAUGUAGCGGUGAAAUGCAUAGAUAUGUUGUAGAACACCAAUUGCGAAGGCAGCUAGCUAAACUAUC